UGAGGAAUAUUGGUCAAUGGCCGAGAGGCUGAACCAGCCAAGUCGCGUGAAGGAAGAAGGAUCUAUGGUUUGUAAACUUCUUUUAUAGGGGAAUAAAGUGGAGGACGUGUCCUUUUUUGUAUGUACCCUAUGAAUAAGCAUCGGCUAACUCCGUGCCAGCAGCCGCGGUAAUACGGAGGAUGCGAGCGUUAUCCGGAUUUAUUGGGUUUAAAGGGUGCGUAGGUGGUGAUUUAAGUCAGCGGUGAAAGUUUGUGGCUCAACCAUAAAAUUGCCGUUGAAACUGGGUUACUUGAGUGUGUUUGAGGUAGGCGGAAUGCGUGGUGUAGCGGUGAAAUGCAUAGAUAUCACGCAGAACUCCGAUUGCGAAGGCAGCUUACUAAACCAUAACUGACACUGAAGCACGAAAGCGUGGGGAUCAAACAGGAUUAGAUACCCUGGUAGUCCACGCAGUAAACGAUGAUUACUAGGAGUUUGCGAUACAAUGUAAGCUCUACAGCGAAAGCGUUAAGUAAUCCACCUGGGGAGUACGCCGGCAACGGUGAAACUCAAAGGAAUUGACGGGGGCCCGCACAAGCGGAGGAACAUGUGGUUUAAUUCGAUGAUACGCGAGGAACCUUACCCGGGUUUGAACGUAGUCUGACCGGAGUGGAAACACUUUUUCUAGCAAUAGCAGAUUACGAGGUGCUGCAUGGUUGUCGUCAGCUCGUGCCGUGAGGUGUCGGCUUAAGUGCCAUAACGAGCGCAACCCUUAUCACUAGUUACUAACAGGUGAAGCUGAGGACUCUGGUGAGACUGCCAGCGUAAGCUGUGAGGAAGGUGGGGAUGACGUCAAAUCAGCACGGCCCUUACGUCCGGGGCUACACACGUGUUACAAUGGUAGGUACAGAGGGCAGCUACCCAGCGAUGGGAUGCGAAUCUCGAAAGCCUAUCUCAGUUCGGAUUGGAGGCUGAAACCCGCCUCCAUGAAGUUGGAUUCGCUAGUAAUCGCGCAUCAGCCAUGGCGCGGUGAAUACGUUCCC
rnacentral:rRNA from 1 species